GCCGCGCGGCGGGCGCGUCAGGGACGUGACGUCCCGCUCCCCGCGGAGACGCUACGAGCCAGCGCCGUGACGCAAGUGCUUCCGGCCGUGCCCAUAUAUGGCAAAGCGGCGGCGCCGUCUUCCCCUGGCGGGCGCUGGACGUCGGGCCGCGCGUGCGGCCCCGCGGCGGGAAGGUUCCAGAAGGGCGCGAGCCGGGGCCGUCGGCACAGCGAUCUGCCGCUGCCCUGAGCCCUCGGGCCGUGACAGCUUCGAGCGGGCGCCUGCGUCCUUAGCCUGCUUUGGGUGCCUGCUGCCAGCCAGUGGCAGAAGUCUGUGGGUGAUGGCAGAGGAAGAGAACCAGAGAGAGGGAAACUUGGCCUGUGUGACCCCGACUGAUCUCUAUUGUUUGGGAAGCAGUUAGCUAAACUUUCGCUCUGACUCUGCGCUUCCUUACUGAGGUGUUUGAAAUUUGUGUAAGUUAUUACAAGAUGUGAUCUCAUAAGUCCACAACUUUCAUCCAUUCAGAUCUUCUGCUGAUAAAGUUGUUCUUAUGGCUUCUGGCGAGCUUUCCAGCCAUAGUGGGUAAGCUGGUGACCCGGUGAGAUGCUGAAGUGAAACCGACAAACAUGUAUUCUUCUGAUAUGGAAACAGCGGAUAUCCACAAGGGACCUCGGUGUCAUAUCAACAGGAUACUGCAGGAAAACAAAAGACGGUCAUAAGUAACGUGUGGGCAAUACAGCACCUUUAUUACUUCCAAUUAUGGAGCUCUUGUUCCUUUUUUUCCCUGGCAUCUUUGGAUUGCGGAACAGAUUUUCAGUUCCUGUUCACUGCCUGGGUUUUGUUUUUAUACAAAUAUUUUGUAACUUUUUCCUGUUGGCAAAAAACAACCAGGCGUAACUUUAAAGCAGUCUGAAUUCUGACUGCAUCACAGCUUCUGUUUAGUGAGAAUAUAGCUCCCUUUAAAUAGCCCAGCUUGAAUUUUCUCAUGCUAAGGGGUAAGGGAGGUGAAACAACCUCAUAAUGCAGAAUUUAUCUGUUUUUGUUUGCAAAACUAAGUAUUUGUUUUGAAUGAGCAGCAGCAUUGCAAGGGCCACAGAGUAGCAAUGUCAGACCUGAGGCAUGUCCUCUAAAUUCUGCAGGAUUCAGAUAUUUCCAGGUUGCUAGGGUUUUGAGUAACACGUCGCUUUGGCACAGCUCUGAAGUGUAGUGGAUGUUUCUGUGUAAGAAUGAUGUUGAUCCUGCUGUGGAGCAUUUGAACUUUAAUUGUAGGAGGAGUGGCAGUUGCUGGCAACUCACAGCUGAGAGAAGGACAAACUCUGUUACAACAUGUAAGCGUGUGGUGUGGCGAUUCAGCUCAACAGUAACGUGACCUGAUGGUGUUGUGUCACUAACCUCGAGGACACAAAGGAAGAUAAACUAAUUUGCUGCCAUUACAUAAGAGUUGAGAACAAAGCCAAGAAUGAGGUUUCAGCACAGAUAAGGAUUUCACUCCGAAACUUUCAAAGAAUUCAGACCUUCACAGCUUUAUUCAUAGGGGUUGCAGGUCCUCCCUGCUGCAGUUUGCCAGCAAGUUCCCGGUAAUCAGAUGCCACAAGGCUGGGUUCCUUAGCUGUGCCUGAGGGUAGGUAGAAAGCACGAGCAUGGGAUUGCUUGCUGACUAGUACACAGUAAUAAUCCCGGUACCUGAAAUGGUUUUGGCCUGUGUCAACUAGCAAUCUCCAAGGUGCUGUAUGGGCAUGGUUCGUGCCUCCAAAGAGGAGUGUUGGUGAGGCUGGGCUACCCCCAUGCUCCAUGGUCAUACUGCAACAUCUGAGCCAGUUUCAUACUGCAUUUCCUACUUGGUGACAAGUCCUUUACUUAUUAUUGCAGCGGCUGUGUAAAGCAUUCAGUGCUCCAAGUUUACUAAACUACCCCACACUAGGGAGAAUUUAAGGGAAACACAAAGUGAUUUAUUUCACCAAAAGGUAGGUAGGUAGCUGUAUUUGAAGACAAAUAUGGUGAACUAACCAAACAAGAAAAUAUGCUACUCUACCUGAUUGUCUUCAAGAUCUUUGUUUCAGCCUGAAGGCUGAGCUGAGGGGCAUGGCAAGCUGCUGGGGUGGGUUCUACAGCUAUUAGAACUGCACAGUGGCACUCAAACAAGCUCCCUUCCCCAGAAGGCACGUUCCUGGCUAGGAGCACUUAUUUGAGAGAAGUUUUAUGUAUAUUUUGUACAUCUCUACAUGCCUAGGGGCCUUCUGAGGGCAAAUGCUUCACUGUGUGCCAGUUCUGGCUCCUAAUACCAGUACAGUUGGUCAAGACCUGAUUUGUAAUGGCCUUGCUAAUGAAACACCAUUUGUUGUAGCUCUACUCCUUGUUGUGCAAAGACAUGACAGAAGUGCAGUGUUCUUGCUCCUGAUACCUGGACAGCAUUAAUGUGGCUUCUUGAUAAGCCAGUACCUGUAAUGUAUAAAUAAAUAGGCUUUAGUAGAAGUAUUUUAUUUUUCCUCUUAAUUUUUAUUACCUCUAAUAUGAGAAACACUUUUGUGGCAAAAGUAAAUACUGCUUGUUUGCUGAUUAGUUCUAGAGAACAGCUAUGAAUAAAACAGUUCUGUGUUUGUGAUCAAAGUGCAAACCAAUUCCAUUUGUUAGAUACGUGGAAUUGAGCAUGAGGCCAUGUGAUCAAAACCCAACAAAAUCUCCUACCAAACCACUUUAACCUUAGGACCAAAAUCUGCAUUAUUUUUCCUCUGUAUGCCAUGUUUUUACUUGUGUUGUAUCAGACACAGCUAAGGGACUGAACUGUUGCACGUGUGUGAGAACGAUGACCAUAGCUAAUUUAAGGCACGUGUAGUUGCAUGAGGUAAUGACCUCACAGCCUCAGUCUUGUCAUGUGAACAGCUUAAUUAUUGGAUAUAGAAUGACAGAUUGUGUCCUGCAGAUGAUCAGACACAGAAUGUGCUGAAGACCAGUCUGACUCUUAACCAAAGGUUUGUAUUUCCUUUUAAGAUGCAUCAUGCACUGAAAUAAUCAUCUGUAUUUAUGAGGACAAAGUAUUAUAUAACAAUUUCCACCUGGGGAUCUCUUAGCCUCCUUAUGGGCCCUAGUGAUAGAAGUGUUCUGUUCUGUCUUACCAUGAGAUUUUCAGUGUAGCAUUCGAGUACUUUCUCAUUAACCUCAAAUGAGACUAAUACGCAAAUGUGUGGUUUGUUCCUGUCUCUCCACAUUGGGUUACAAUGUGCUAGCAGUAGAGGUGGGAAAAAUCAUGCCGUGCAGUCUGGGGAAGCAUGUACUGAAAGGUCUUUUUGUCGCUAGGGAAUUAAUUCUCCAAAUUUGGACAGAUCCUUGGAAAGUGGGGUGUCUCGCACAGGCGAGCAUUACCUUUUUGCCAAGUCCAUUUGUGCCACAGGGUUGCAUUAGCUGAGUACAAUCUAUCUUGGUGUUUCACAUGGCUUCCUUCUAUUUGAUAUGCUAGUGCUAGGCCUUAAGGUAAGAACCAAGUUUAAUUUUGCUGUUCUCAGAACUAUAUGAAGAAGGUGAAGAGUGUGAUCCCAUGUUAAUAGCCAGGUAAGUUGAAGCACUGAACAGCAGUUUUGGGAAAGUUAAAAUCAGUCUACAUGGAUGUUCCUGCUGUCACCUCUGCUCUUUGUGAUUCUCUUUCCUUCCUGGUUUCUUCAUAGUUACUUGCUUGACCCUCAGUGAAGUAGUUUGGGAAUUUACACUGGCACAAGACAUGUUUUCAUAUGUGGGGGUUAAAUUUCAGCUGCAUUUGGUCCCUAACCAAAGUUACUGCAGAAUCAGUCAAAUGCUAAUACUGAAGCAAUGCAAGAGGCAAAUCCUGCAGCUUUUAGCUGGACUGGGCUACACAGCUUCCAGAAACCCCAAUCAACUGAUGUGAUGCAUUGUGUCUGUGAUCAGUAGGAUCAGCUGGGUCAGGAGGAGCACAGGAAUAAUGUGGUGGUGGUAUGAAAACAACCCAGUGGUAACAGGGAACUAAUCCAGAGAUGUUAAACUUACCUGUGUAUGAGUACCUCUAAAAUCAGGAUUACGUACUCUGAUAGAGCUACCUGUAGCAGAUUAAAAUAUAAUCUUUGCUCUCUGAAGUGAGCUGAUAGCUUUCUUAGGUGACAGGACUUUGUGCUGUGCCAUCCACAGUCCUGUUGGCUGAUCAAAUGAUAUGGGAGGGGCACAGUUCCCAAAUGCCAAGUGACAGAGGCUGAGGUUCCCAUUCCCUUUUACCACCCCCAGGAACACGUGUUAACCCCGGCUGGGAGGACAGGCUGGAGAGACUGGCAUGGGAAUGCCUGGAAGCAGCCCAUCAGCACACAAGUCAGACACCCAUAACAGUGCUUUUAGUCUCUUACAGUAUAAUUGAGCAACAUGAACGCAGCAGCCACGGUCUCUUACAUCCACUUUCUCACUGUGCACGUCAGAGGACCAAGACAGUAUAGACUGAGAUGCAUUCACUUUGUUGUGCUUCUUGGAUUAAUGGAUCAUUGGAGUUCUGAGCGGUCUUUGGGGUUCUGAGAAACAUCACCCAUUCACCAGAGCUUCUUAGUCCCAAAUCUGAAUUUCCACGCUUGUUGUCUGAAUGUAAGGAGCCAUAUCUUAGACAAACAUGCUGUAGUUUUUACUGGA